rnacentral:rRNA from 1 species
GGGUUGUGAGGUUAAGCGACUAAGCGUACACGGUGGAUGCCUAGGCAGUCAGAGGCGAUGAAGGGCGUGCUAAUCUGCGAAAAGCGUCGGUAAGCUGAUAUGAAGCGUUACAACCGACGAUACCCGAAUGGGGAAACCCAGUGCAAUUCGUUGCACUAUUGCAUGGUGAAUACAUAGCCAUGCAAGGCGAACCGGGGGAACUGAAACAUCUAAGUACCCCGAGGAAAAGAAAUCAACCGAGAUUCCCCCAGUAGCGGCGAGCGAACGGGGAGGAGCCCAGAGUCUGAAUCAGUUUGUGUGUUAGUGGAAGCGUCUGGAAAGUCGCACGGUACAGGGUGAUAGUCCCGUACACAAAAAUACACUUGCUGUGAACUCGAUGAGUAGGGCGGGACACGUGACAUCCUGUCUGAAUAUGGGGGACCAUCCUCCAAGGCUAAAUACUCCUGACUGACCGAUAGUGAACCAGUACCGUGAGGGAAAGGCGAAAAGAACCCCGGCGAGGGGAGUGAAAUAGAACCUGAAACCGUGUACGUACAAGCAGUGGGAGCACCUUCGUGGUGUGACUGCGUACCUUUUGUAUAAUGGGUCAGCGACUUAUAUUUUGUAGCAAGGUUAACCGAAUAGGGGAGCCGUAGGGAAACCGAGUCUUAACUGGGCGUCUAGUUGCAAGGUAUAGACCCGAAACCCGGUGAUCUAGCCAUGGGCAGGUUGAAGGUUGGGUAACACUAACUGGAGGACCGAACCGACUAAUGUUGAAAAAUUAGCGGAUGACUUGUGGCUGGGGGUGAAAGGCCAAUCAAACCGGGAGAUAGCUGGUUCUCCCCGAAAGCUAUUUAGGUAGCGCCUCGUGAACUCAUCUUCGGGGGUAGAGCACUGUUUCGGCUAGGGGGUCAUCCCGACUUACCAAACCGAUGCAAACUCCGAAUACCGAAGAAUGUUAUCACGGGAGACACACGGCGGGUGCUAACGUCCGUCGUGAAGAGGGAAACAACCCAGACCGCCAGCUAAGGUCCCAAAGUCAUGGUUAAGUGGGAAACGAUGUGGGAAGGCACAGACAGCCAGGAUGUUGGCUUAGAAGCAGCCAUCAUUUAAAGAAAGCGUAAUAGCUCACUGGUCGAGUCGGCCUGCGCGGAAGAUGUAACGGGGCUAAACCAUGCACCGAAGCUGCGGCAGCGACACUUAGGUGUUGUUGGGUAGGGGAGCGUUCUGUAAGCCGUUGAAGGUGGACUGUGAGGUCUGCUGGAGGUAUCAGAAGUGCGAAUGCUGACAUAAGUAACGAUAAUGCGGGUGAAAAGCCCGCACGCCGGAAGACCAAGGGUUCCUGUCCAACGUUAAUCGGGGCAGGGUGAGUCGACCCCUAAGGCGAGGCUGAAAAGCGUAGUCGAUGGGAAACAGGUUAAUAUUCCUGUACUCGGUGUUACUGCGAAGGGGGGACGGAGAAGGCUAGGCUAGCCGGGCGACGGUUGUCCCGGUUUAAGCAUGUAGGCGGAGUGACCUGGUAAAUCCGGUUGCUUAUCAACGCUGAGGUGUGAUGACGAUGCACUACGGUGCAGAAGUAGUUGAUGCCAAGCUUCCAGGAAAAGCCUCUAAGCAUCAGGUAACAUUGAAUCGUACCCCAAACCGACACAGGUGGUCAGGUAGAGAAUACUCAGGCGCUUGAGAGAACUCGGGUGAAGGAACUAGGCAAAAUGGUGCCGUAACUUCGGGAGAAGGCACGCUGGCAUUAGGUAAAGAGACUUGCUCUCAGAGCCGAAGCCAGUCGCAGAUACCAGCUGGCUGCAACUGUUUAAUAAAAACACAGCACUGUGCAAACACGAAAGUGGACGUAUACGGUGUGACGCCUGCCCGGUGCUGGAAGGUUAAUUGAUGGGGUCAGCCGCAAGGCGAAGCUCUUGAUCGAAGCCCCAGUAAACGGCGGCCGUAACUAUAACGGUCCUAAGGUAGCGAAAUUCCUUGUCGGGUAAGUUCCGACCUGCACGAAUGGCGUAAUGAUGGCCAGGCUGUCUCCACCCGAGACUCAGUGAAAUUGAACUCGCUGUGAAGAUGCAGUGUACCCGCGGCAAGACGGAAAGACCCCGUGAACCUUUACUAUAGCUUGACACUGAACAUUGAGCCUUGAUGUGUAGGAUAGGUGGGAGGCAUCGAAGCGUGGACGCCAGUCUGCGUGGAGCCAACCUUGAAAUACCACCCUUUAAUGUUUGAUGUUCUAACUCGGCCCCGUAAUCCGGGGUGAGGACAGUGUCUGGUGGGUAGUUUGACUGGGGCGGUCUCCUCCCAAAGAGUAACGGAGGAGCACGAAGGUUAGCUAAUCACGGUCGGACAUCGUGAGGUUAGUGCAAAGGCAUAAGCUAGCUUGACUGCGAGAGUGACGGCUCGAGCAGGUACGAAAGUAGGUCUUAGUGAUCCGGUGGUUCUGAAUGGAAGGGCCAUCGCUCAACGGAUAAAAGGUACUCCGGGGAUAACAGGCUGAUACCGCCCAAGAGUUCAUAUCGACGGCGGUGUUUGGCACCUCGAUGUCGGCUCAUCACAUCCUGGGGCUGAAGUAGGUCCCAAGGGUAUGGCUGUUCGCCAUUUAAAGUGGUACGCGAGCUGGGUUUAGAACGUCGUGAGACAGUUCGGUCCCUAUCUGCCGUGGGCGUUGGAAGAUUGAGAGGGGCUGCUCCUAGUACGAGAGGACCGGAGUGGACGAAUCACUGGUGUUCGGGUUGUCAUGCCAAUGGCAUUGCCCGGUAGCUAAAUUCGGAAGAGAUAACCGCUGAAAGCAUCUAAGCGGGAAACUUGCCUCGAGAUGAGUCUUCCCUGGGGCUUUAAGCCCCCUGAAGGAACGUUAAAGACUAUGACGUUGAUAGGCUGGGUGUGUAAGUGCAGCGAUGCAUUGAGCUAACCAGUACUAAUGAUCCGUGAGGCUUAACCUUACAACACCGAAGGUGUUU